AAAAGCUAUGAGAAAUAAUGUGCCCAGGGACCGUGGAGACACAGCCAUGGAAGUUGGAAUCUAUGCAAAUAUCCUUGAAAAACAAGCAAAGGAGGAAUCUGUGCCAGAAGUGGGAUCCAGGCCGUGUGUUUCCACAGCCCAAGAUGAGGCCAAACACUCCCAGGAGCUACAGUAUGCCACCCCCGUGUUCCAGGAGGUGGCACC
rnacentral:lncRNA from 1 species